AGUCGUAACAAGGUUUCCGUAGGUGAACCUGCGGAAGGAUCAUCAACAAAUCUAACUUAUGCCUGUCGCAAGACGGCAUAUAUACCAAUGUGAAUUGAAGAACGCAAGUUUUUCUAUUAAUUUUUGUUUUCGGACAAAAAUAUUAACGAGUUUUAAUAGAGUCUGUUAAAAAAAUAUAAUUAAAAACAACUUUUAACAAUGGAUCUCUUGGCUCUUGCAACGAUGAAGAACGCAGUGAAUUGCGAUAAGUAAUGUGAAUCGCAUCACCUGUGAAUCAUCAAAUCUUUGAACGCACCUUGCGCUUUUUGGGUCUACCGAAAAGCAUACCUGUUUGAGUAUCAGAAAGUACUCUACUUUUAUUAGUAGGAAUUGAGGUUUAGCUUUUUUUUUGGCUAUUCCUUGAAAUUGAGGUAGUGAUAUCGAGUAUACAAACUCUAGUCAAAAGUGCGGUAAGAAAAAGGUAGUUUUUCUCCCACUGAUACGACGAAGGGUGAGUUUAUUUGGUGCUAAAUUCACUAAAACUUUUUAUAUUGAACCUUUGAUCUCAAAUCAGGUAGGAUUACCCGCUGAACUUAAGCAUAUCAAUAAGCGGAGGAAAAGAAACUAACAAGGAUUCCCUCAGUAACGGCGAGUGAAGUGGGAUGAGCUCAAAUUUUAAAUCUGGGAGGCUUCCUCUCCGAAUUGUAAUUUAUAGAGACGUUUUCUGUGGUGGCAUUGGUAAAAGUUCCUUGGAACAGGACAUCAGAGAGGGUGAGAAUCCCGUAUUUGACCAUUGCUUAACUGCUAUACGAUACGUUCUCUAAGAGUCGAGUUGUUUGGGAAUGCAGCUCAAAAUGGGUGGUAAAUUUCAUCUAAAGCUAAAUAAUGGCAAGAGACCGAUAGCGAACAAGUACCGUGAGGGAAAGAUGAAAAGAACUUUGAAAAGAGAGUUAAAUAGUACGUGAAAUUGUUAAAAGGGAAACGAUUGAAACCAGUAUUUUUACUAGGAUUCAGCGUCCUUUAGCAGUAUUUUAUGCUUGAAGAGAGUCAAAUCCUUUUAGUAUGGCAUUUCUGUUAAAGGGCGUGCAUUUUCCUAGUAAAAAGUCAACAUCAGUUUUAUGUGUUGGAUAAAGCUUGGAGGAAGGUGACUUUGUUUACAAAGUUUUAUAGACUUCAUUCAAAACAACAUGUCGAGACUGAGGACUGCAGCGUAGCGCAAGCAUAUCUAGACCUACUUUAUUUUUAGCUGACUACUUUGGACAAUUUAUUGACCCGAGUAGUUCAGCUGAUGAUACGAGUAGUAUAGUUUCAUACGCUUAGGAUGUUGACGAAAUGGUUUUAAACGACC
rnacentral:rRNA from 1 species